rnacentral:rRNA from 1 species
AGCCGCGGUAAUACGUAGGGGGCGAGCGUUGUCCGGAAUUAUUGGGCGUAAAGGGCGCGUAGGCGGCUUAUCAAGUCUGAUGUGAAAGUGCGGGGCUUAACCCCGUAAAGCAUUGGAAACUGGUAAGCUUGAGGGCAGGAGAGGAAAGUGGAAUUCCUAGUGUAGCGGUGAAAUGCGUAGAGAUUAGGAGGAACACCAGUGGCGAAGGCGACUUUCUGGACUGCACCUGACGCUGAGGCGCGAAAGCGUGGGUAGCGAACAGGAUUAGAUACCCUGGUAGUCCACGCCGUAAACGAUGAGUGCUAGGUGUAGAGGGUAUCGACCCCUUCUGUGCCGCAGUUAACACAAUAAGCACUCCGCCUGGGGAGUACGGCCGCAAGGCUAAAACUCAAAGGAAUUGACGGGGGCCCGCACAAGCGGUGGAGCAUGUGGUUUAAUUCGACGCAACGCGAAGAACCUUACCAAGGCUUGACAUCCUCAGAAUCCUGUGGAAACACGGGAGUGCCCUUUUUGGGAGCUGAGAGACAGGAGGUGCAUGGCC